ACCAUCGUGUACCGCAAUGUUGACUACCCCACUUCGUCGCAACGAAGAGGGUGUAAUGUUGUUUACUUAACAUGACCCUAAGAAUCGGGGCGGGCGCUACUCCUAUAACGCUACACAAGCGUUAUACAUGUUAAGGUUAAGGUGUGGUUUCAAGGACAAGUUCCUCACAAUAGAAUAAUCCAGUAAUCCCGAACCAAGUAUAACGUAUUAGUAUGC
rnacentral:lncRNA from 1 species